rnacentral:rRNA from 1 species
CACUCCUGCGGGAGGCAGCAGUGGGGAAUUUUGGACAAUGGGCGAAAGCCUGAUCCAGCAAUGCCGCGUGAGUGAAGAAGGCCUUCGGGUUGUAAAGCUCUUUUGUCAGGGAAGAAACGGUGAAAGCUAAUAUCUUUUGCUAAUGACGGUACCUGAAGAAUAAGCACCGGCUAACUACGUGCCAGCAGCCGCGGUAAUACGUAGGGUGCAAGCGUUAAUCGGAAUUACUGGGCGUAAAGCGUGCGCAGGCGGUUUUGUGAGUCUGAUGUGAAAUCCCCGGGCUCAACCUGGGAAUUGCAUUGGAGACUGCAAGGCUAGAAUCUGGCAGAGGGGGGUAGAAUUCCACGUGUAGCAGUGAAAUGCGUAGAUAUGUGGAGGAACACCGAUGGCGAAGGCAGCCCCCUGGGUUAAGAUUGACGCUCAUGCACGAAAGCGUGGGGAGCAAACAGGAUUAGAAACCCGGGUAGUCCC